UAGGAGCAGAGUAGGAUGAGUGGAGUAGGAGAUCCCCUCUUGUAGGAAUAGAACAAUGGCGCAAAUUCUGAGUCUUCCUUCAGUAAUCUCAGGUUACAGAAGCCAAAUUCCGGUUCUACCCAGAACCGCCGCUUCCACCAGUUCAACUCACGGCUGGAACACUCUCUCACAUUCACUCAAUUGCAACUGCAGGACCAGGCUAGAAAAUCCUUAGAAAGUGCGCUUGGUGGAAAGAAAGCAGAGUCAGAGCAAUGGGAUAAAGAAAUUAAAAGGAGAGAGGAAGCAGGUGGAGGGGGAAAUUCUGGGGGAGGUGGUUGGUUUGGAUGGCGAGGAUGGUUUGGUGGAUCUGAUGAUGGUCAUUUCUUGCAAGAAGCACAACAAGCAAGCCUUACAAUUUUGGGUAUUCUCGUUCUGUACCUGAUCAUGUUAAAAGGGGAUAUGCUGCUUGCUGUCAUUUUCAAUCCUCUCUGUUAUUUGCUUUGCGAGGGACACGAUCUGUAUUUGCCUUCUUGACAUCAAGGAUUACAAAUCAAAGUGCAUAAAGUUUUGACACUCCACAAGAGGAAGUGGCUGUUCAUGUUUCUGCAAAAGAGCGAAUAGUGGGAAAAUGGGGAAGCAAUUGAUUUUGUUCCAGGUGUAACCGGUGAUUUUUUUCUUUUAGAAUGUUGCACAACAGCACAAGCAUGCACCAUUCGUGCUUAGAAAUGAGAUUGUGAAGAAGAAGACGAACAAGACUGGGGUGAGGCAGUUUGGAGGAUUGCAAGGUCAUGGUUUUUAUUUCUAAUUUAUCUUAUAUUUGAGGUUGUGUAGGAUCAUUGCAUUCAGAGAUGUUCGCUGUCAUAACGAUGUUUAGAUCUGCAAUUUUGUGCCGCGAAAGAUCUCCAUGUGAGAAUUAUGUUGGUAUAAUUAGCCACAUGGAAAAAACGUGCCCCAUUACACCUAAUUAUUAUGGGUUAAAAAUUGUCCUAACUAUUGAACACGGGGGAGAAAGAGAAUGGUCAGGGUCUUAUCCCUUGACCUCCCGCCUACACGAGACAGUCGCCCAAGGUAAAUUGUUUCUAUAAUUCUAUUUCCCUAAUUUGCUAACUAUAGUAAUACAUGGUGAAGAUUGUCAAGUGAAAUGAUUCAAAUCAAUUAGAAAGAGAUAUUUUUAUUCAUGAAACGUGACCUGGCAAAUAGGAGUACUAUGUAAAACACCAUCGAAUUAGCCUCUUACCAGAAUUAUGAAUAAACGCAUCUUUGUAUCGAUA